CUCCAUGAAGUCGGAAUCGCUAGUAAUCGUGAAUCAGAAUGUCACGGUGAAUACGUUCCCGGGCCUUGUACACACCGCCCGUCACACCAUGGGAGUGGGCUGCACCAGAAGUGGUUAGUUUAACCGCCCUUUCUUCGGAGAGAGUGGAGGACGAUCACCACGGUGUGGUUCAUGACUGGGGUGAAGUCGUAACAAGGUAGCCCUAGGGGAACCUGGGGCUGGAUCACCUCCUUAUACGAAGAUA
rnacentral:rRNA from 1 species